rnacentral:rRNA from 1 species
GCAUCGAUGAAGAACGUAGCGAAUUACGAUAUGUAAUGUGAAUUGCAGAAUUCAGUGAAUCAUCGAAUCUUUGAACGCACCUUGCGCUCUUUGGUAUUCCGAAGAGCAUGCCUGUUUGAGUAUCAU